ACUCGUAAAAUUACGCUAUGUAUGUUAUUGUUGUUUUAAUUCAAACAUAAAUAAACUACUUGAUAAUGUUGAUUACUUUCCUACCUUACAUAAUCACAGUUGUUUGAGGAUAAAUAUCAAAUUAUUGUCCUAUAAAUACUGAACUCUUGACAUCUGUCUUUCUUCAACCAGAGAACCUUUUAAUUUUCUUCUCUUCUUCUUCUCCUUUUUUCUCGCAGAGAAAAAUAUGGCUUCCCAUAAGAGUAUCACAGUCUCCACUUCUGAUAACUGCGCCAACGGCGAUUCAUUGCCGGCGAACUCGCCGAAAGGCCAGUGCCUGUGCUCGCCGACGACCCAUAGAGGAUCGUUCAGGUGCAGGUAUCACCGUACUCCAACUUCUGGUAACACAACAAGUGAAUGGUUCAAGAGAUCAAAAUCCAUGCCUGUUAAUAAGCACAAUAAUAUAUCUCCCAAAUCAGUUGAAUCUACUUAAAAUAUUGUAAUUUUUCAAUAUGUUUUGAGUGGACAAAUGGAAGAGUAUAUGGUUUUCUCUUUUCUUUCCUCUUAAAUAUGUAUAGUUUUUAUUAUUGCAAGGAACUUUCUCUUCUCUCCA